CGUUUUAAACAAAGUGUCAGAGGAUCCAUUUAAUUGGGAAAUUUAUUGGUCAGCUACAGCAGCAUAGGAGACGACAUACUGUCUGGCCCUCUCUUGUUGGCUUUCUUUGGCUCGCAUGUUUUGCGGUUUGCUGGAAAUGCUUUCACACACAGGGGAAAGUGGUCCACUAAAAAAUAAAAAGAUGAAACAACGAUAAAAACUAGAGACAAAUUCGUGUAAAAGAAGUGGAUUUGUUUUGAAUGACAACAACUGGAAUAUUUUGUGAGCUCGUUCCGAUUAUGAGACUUUCCCGCUAAUUAUAUUUGUACAGGCCACACGCUAUGGACAUUCAGAGACAUUGUUCAUUGCUCAACAUUUUUUCAUUUUCCAGCUACUUAUCAAUCGUAUUUUCCAAGAGUCUCGUCUAAUCCUAGGCGGAAAAGUGGCGUAUCCUAACGCCGGGAAUUGGACUUGCACAACUCUGCGUAACGUGAAAGAUCCGUCACACAUGGCACAAGGUGAAGUCCUAAUCUGUUUUUGGUCAGAUAAAAACCACAGAUGCAGAUACAUAAACUCUCACACAUACACACACACACACACACACUAUUGCAGUUGCAGUUUCCGUUGCAAAAUGAGUUUGUCAGCUAUGGGAUGAGAGUCCUUCGUAAUAUCCCCUCAAUUAAAAAGACGUUCAUCAUCGAUUUGUUUAUUAUGCAAUUGCAAUUUCAAUUGCAUUCAUAUCAAACCAGAUAUCGACCAAAACAAACAUCCAGGCAGCGCCCAACUGUGCCAAAAGGUAAACCAGUAGGUGGUGCCGGAAGUGCCCGAGAAUCCAUCCACAAAACAAACCUAGGUGAGGUAUCUGUUGUGCAGUUUCCCAUCAACAGGAGACAACAAACUAAUCAAAACUAAUGAUGACAUAAUUGGCUCGGAAGCAGGACCCUAUGUGUGGGUCCUCUGUGUAAUCGAAUAGGAAUUGAUAUAGGAAGAAAACUGAGGAAGUGGCUGACGCAGUGCGAAAACAAAGCCACAUACAAAUUGGGUCUACCAAGGAAACAAACAUCAGCCAUCAGUCAGGGGUCCUCAAAAAAAUAAAAAGAAGGAAGAAGACGGAAAGAACAUCUCGCACAAGUUACAAGCAAAUAAAAAGAAAACGAGAAAAAGUGUAAAAAGAUAAUUGAUUUGUUUGCAAAACUGCAAUGCGAUGACACUUUGGAUUUUAAUGCCCAUGGUGUGGUCCUGUUCUGUGUUCAGCAAUUAGCUGGAACGUUAUAAUUACAAUGAGGAAAUUGUUGUGACAUUUGGUAAAAGUCAAAACUAUUGAGCAAUUCAUCAAUAUGCUGCCACACAGACUGCUUUCCUUUCUCAAAUGUCUUUUUCUUCGACUUUUCUUCCCUUUUCUAUUUUUUUAUUCAUUAUAAUUUUUGUGGCACGGAUGUUGCCCCGCGGUGUAGCGUGUGCUACUGUCCGCUUCCAUUUCCCGUGGGGAACUAAAGUCAACUGCCACACAGCUGCC